rnacentral:rRNA from 1 species
UACAGGGGGGGCAAGCGUUGUUCGGAAUUACUGGGCGUAAAGGGCCAGUAGGCGGCCAACUAAGUCCGACGUGAAAUCCCAAAGCUUAACUUUGGAACUGCGUCGGAUACUGGAUGGCUUGAAUUCGGGAGAGGGAUGCAGAAUUCCAGGUGUAGCGGUGAAAUGCGUAGAUAUCGGGAGGAACAUCGAUGGCGAAGGCAAUCACCUGGGCCUGAACUGACACUGCGACACGAAAGCGUGGGUAGCAAACAGG